AUACGUAGGGAGCGAGCGUUGUCCGGAAUUACUGGGUGUAAAGGGAGCGUAGGCGGGACGGCAAGUCAGAUGUGAAAUACAUGGGCUCAACCCAUGGGCUGCAUUCGAAACUGCUGUUCUUGAGUGAAGUAGAGGUAAGCGGAAUUCCUGGUGUAGCGGUGAAAUGCGUAGAUAUCAGGAGGAACACCGGUGGCGAAGGCGGCUUACUGGGCUUUUACUGACGCUGAGGCUCGAAAGCGUGGGGAGCAAACAGGAUUAGAUACCCUGGUAGUCCACGCUGUAAACGAUGAUCACUAGGUGUGGGGGGACUGACCCCUUCCGUGCCGCAGUUAACACAAUAAGUGAUCCACCUGGGGAGUACGGCCGCAAGGUUGAAACUCAAAUGAAUUGACGGGG
rnacentral:rRNA from 1 species